GGCUAGGUAGCUCAGCUGGUUAGAGCACACGACUCAUAAUCGUGGGGUCGGGGGUUCAAGUCCCCCCCUCGCCA
rfam:Thioclava pacifica DSM 10166 contig6, whole genome shotgun sequence.